CUUCUGUCUAUUUGAGCUGGUCAGUCUGUGUUGUUUAGUGGAGCUGAAUAGCUAAGUGUUGCUCUCCACUCUCUAGAGGAUCAAGUUUUGAAAUCAGUGGAAUUAGAGUAUGUUAGCCAAAGAGAUGGAGAAAACACCUGUCUCCGGAUUACAUAUUCAAACUUAGGGAAACUGUGGCAUGGCAUCCAUGACAGGCAGACACGUCCAUCAUGCAUGAUGAUGUAUACAGAGCUGGUUAGGCUGUUUUCAUGUUAUCCAUACAGUGGGUAAACAAAUCAUCGGCCAGAGCAUCAAGUGUGGACUCUGACCGUUCCGAGGGUGAAACAAGAUGGCUGGGGCUGAAGAUUAAGAGGGUGUGAACGAUGCUGAAUGGGUGUAGACAAAGAGGAGCUCUUCACUAGAUACCAAAACAUUCAAGGCCAUUUUCUCAAAAGUAUGAGGAACUGAUAUCCAGGAAAGAUUGGUUAUUGAGAAGUGUCUCUGACCUGACAGAUGUCAGGAGCAAUAGAAGCUCCAGGAGCAACAGAAGCCCAAGAACUUGAGAACCCAAGGAACUUGAGAAGCCCAAGGAGCUAAAGAGGAUUAUAGAGUGGCUACCCAACACCAACUUGGACUGGCCGGUAUUUGGACCAGUCAGGAGGAAAAUCGCCUCCUUGAAGAAAAUGUAAGUUCAGCCUGGGAACCUAACUAUCACUCUCAUCCAGCUGACCCUAAAGGAGCUGUUCGGCGACACAUGGUGUUUCUCAGCGGGAAAGAACAACCUAACAGCUCUACACGAUAACAUGGUUGGACAAACUGUCAGCUUCAUGAAUAAUGAUGUAGAAGCCUAUCAGAGGUGCAGGGUCUUCUGGUUCUGACUCAAACUUUUGGACGACAUAGAGCGGCGGAUCAGUUUUGUGAAAUAAGUUACCGAAGAGAUCAGAUGGGAGUGUACUCUUACACUGUCCCUCAAACGAGAGGUGAGGAGGGAGGUCCUACUCUCAGAUAUCGGCUUGUGUCUAGAGGUCUGCAAACUUGUGUCCAGAUGCCUUCUGGAAGCUUUGUGACCUCCAGACUUGCAGCCAGAGGACUACGUUAGGAGCUUCAGUCCAUCUGAUGAGCUCAAGACAAGGCUUCAGAUGCCCCUGGACCAUGAAGGUUCAGAUAGCAGAUCAUCAGAUGAAGACUGUCAAAAAGCCCAGGUCAAAGAGGUGGGUGAUACAGAUCUUCUUGACAGCUGUGGCAAGACCAAUGGCUAAUUAAUGUCUGAUCAAUUGCCAUCCGUUCUUAUUUGGCCUACUUCCAUAGCCAUUUCUGCUCCCUCUUCUCUCCAGUUCCUCUCCAUUUUCUCCAUCUCCAUUUCCUGUCCCUUUUCUCCCUCUUCUCUCCAUUUCUUCUCCCUCCUUUUCUCAAAUAAAUGACUUUUCUUUUUACACUGUCCAUCUGUCAUACUUUGUCAAAACAUACAUUUUAUUCUGCUUUACUCUGCACUUUAGGUGUAGCCUGAAUGAAACAUCACACUG
rnacentral:lncRNA from 1 species